rnacentral:rRNA from 1 species
GGAGGUAGUGACAAUAAAUCUCAAUACGAAGCCUUUGGUUUUGUAAUUGAAUUGAGAACAAUGUACAAUCGUUAUCGAUAAACAAUUGGAGGGCAAGUCUGGUGCCAGCAGCCGCGGUAAUUCCAGCUCCAAUAGCGUAUAUUAACGUUGUUGCAGUUAAAAAGCUCGUAGUUGAAGUUUAGAUAAUUUGUUGAGAGUGUUAGUAUUCGUACUAUCUACUCUUAAUAGAUUAUCGACUUCCAGGUAAGUGUGAUGAACCUUUCGGGGUUUAUUACAUUCGACUGGUCUUUUACUGUGAGAAAAUUAGAGUGUUUAAAGCAGACUUUUUUUAUAGUUUGAAUAGAUUAGCAUGGAAUAAUAAGAUUGGCUUUCAUAGUCGAUUUUUUGGUUUGUUUAUGAAAGCAAGAUUAAUAGGGACAGUUGGGGGUAUUCAUAUUCAAUAGCUAGAGGUGAAAUUCUAUGAUUUAUGGAAGAUGAACAAGUGCGAAAGCA